rnacentral:tRNA from 1 species
GCCAUCUUGGUGCAAAGGGAGCACACUUGGCUAGUAUUCAAGAGGUCCAGGUUGGAGUUCUGAUGAAGGCA